rnacentral:lncRNA from 1 species
GUUGCUUGCACCAACAAUUUAUAUUUGAUCGAACACUUGGUCUUGGAUGAUCUGUCCUUUGGUGUCACAUCUUCCGCAAAUAUGUUUGGAGGUUGGUACUUCAAUCCUUGUGUGAAAUUAUGCAAUGAACUCUGUUGACUGUUAGUGUUUGAGUGACGACUAUGUGUGUGAAAUCUCCAUUUCAUGAUGUUCUCCUCUCAUCCACCCGCACGGCGCCAUGACCGAUCUGUCCCGCUGGAUUUGAUGUUGAUUU